GACGAACGCUGGCGGCGUGCUUAACACAUGCAAGUCGAACGAUGAAGCUAGAGCUUGCUCUGGUGGAUUAGUGGCGAACGGGUGAGUAACACGUGAGUAACCUGCCCCGAACUCUGGGAUAACUGCUGGAAACGGUAGCUAAUACCGGAUAUGACCAAUGAAGGCAUCUUCUGUUGGUGGAAAGAAUUUCGGUUCGGAUGGACUCGCGGCCUAUCAGCUUGUUGGUGAGGUAACGGCUCACCAAGGCGACGACGGGUAGCCGGCCUGAGAGGGUGAUCGGCCACACUGGGACUGAGACACGGCCCAGACUCCUACGGGAGGCAGCAGUGGGGAAUAUUGCACAAUGGGCGCAAGCCUGAUGCAGCAACGCCGCGUGAGGGAUGACGGCCUUCGGGUUGCAAACCUCUUUUAGUAGGGAAGAAGCGAAAGUGACGGUACCUGCAGAAAAAGCACCGGCUAACUACGUGCCAGCCGCCGCCGUAA
rnacentral:rRNA from 1 species